rnacentral:rRNA from 1 species
CCAUAUGGUCGACCUGCAGGCGGCCGCGAAUUCACUAGUGAUUCGUAUUACCGCGGCUGCUGGCACAGAGUUAGCCGGUGCUUAUUCUGUCGGUAACGUCAAGACAGCAACGUAUUAGGUUACUGCCCUUCCUCCCAACUUAAAGUGCUUUACAAUCCGAAGACCUUCUUCACACACGCGGCAUGGCUGGAUCAGGCUUUCGCCCAUUGUCCAAUAUUCCCCACUGCUGCCUCCCGUAGGAGUCUGGACCGUGUCUCAGUUCCAGUGUGACUGAUCAUCCUCUCAGACCAGUUACGGAUCGUCGCCUUGGUGAGCCAUUACCUCACCAACUAGCUAAUCCGACCUAGGCUCAUCUGAUAGCGCAAGGCCCGAAGGUCCCCUGCUUUCUCCCGUAGGACGUAUGCGGUAUUAGCGUCCGUUUCCGAGCGUUAUCCCCCACUACCAGGCAGAUUCCUAGGCAUUACUCACCCGUCCGCCGCUCUCAAGAGAAGCAAGCUUCUCUCUACCGCUCGACUUGCAUGUGUUAGGCCUGCCGCCAGCGUUCAAUCUGAGCCAUGAUCAAACUCUAAUCGAAUUCCCGCGGCCGCC